rnacentral:rRNA from 1 species
CGGGUGGUAAUGCCGGAUGCUCCAGUUGACCGCAUGGUCCUCUGGGAAAGCUUUUGCGGUAUGGGAUGGGGUCGCGUCCUAUCAGCUUGAUGGCGGGGUAACGGCCCACCAUGGCUUCGACGGGUAGCCGGCCUGAGAGGGCGACCGGCCACAUUGGGACUGAGAUACGGCCCAGACUCCUACGGGAGGCAGCAGUGGGGAAUAUUGCACAAUGGGCGCAAGCCUGAUGCAGCGACGCCGCGUGCGGGAUGACGGCCUUCGGGUUGUAAACCGCUUUUGACUGGGAGCAAGCCCUUCGGGGUGAGUGUACCUUUCGAAUAAGCACCGGCUAACUACGUGCCAGCAGCCGCGGUAAUACGUAGGGUGCAAGCGUUAUCCGGAAUUAUUGGGCGUAAAGGGCUCGUAGGCGGUUCGUCGCGUCCGGUGUGAAAGUCCAUCGCUUAACGGUGGAUCCGCGCCGGGUACGGGCGGGCUUGAGUGCGGUAGGGGAGACUGGAAUUCCCGGUGUAACGGUGGAAUG